CAGAAGUUAAGGAACUUAGAUAUAUUUUUUCUAAGUCCGUUGCUUUUCUCCUGUGAUUGCUGCGUAAAAGCAAUGGACUUGGGCGCAAUCUCUAGCCCACUCUCAGCCUCGGGCCUCGCGUCCUGGUCCAAUGGUGGAGAAAAAAUUCACAACUCCCGGCUUUCAAGCCUAUCCUAUAAGGCUGCGCCUGUGUGGACCAGACCAAUGUAGGACCAUCCCACUAGUCAGCCUCCCUGUGUCUACAUCCGAAAACGCUCCUGGGCACCUCAUCCCCACAGUUUUAGCUCCAUCCAUUUCAAAGUGGAGUACAAGCUUCACAUUACUGGCCUAGUGAGGGGCUAGUGACUGCCUCUCUACUCGAUCUGAUUAAGCCAGGUUAUUUGAACCACGACGCUCUCUGAGAAUUCACUACACAACAAAAGCAGGUUUCUACCUGUACCCAGCAGAGAGGGGCAAAGGAUCCAGCAAGACAAGGAAUUUCAUUUUUACGUAGUUCCAAAGCAAAAGAUCUUGCUUCCAAAAUGCUUACUCCGUUGCCCAAAUUCGAAUAGCUCUAGGACUAUCAUGAUGCUACUGCACUACAACAAAAUGGAACCCAUGAGCAUUUCAUAACUAAGUUGCAAAGGCUGCAGGAUCCUUUCCAUUUUUGCUUCUGCCGCUGCCUUCUUUCUAAAGGAAGAUUCAGCUUUUCAGAGGGCAGAGAUGAAGUACGGUUCCUUUUGAUUAAGGAUUGGAAGACAGAUUGCAGUUAAAGACCAUCACAUCAACAAAGUCAACAUCGAGAAAUUUUUCUGACCACAUCAACAGAAUCAAAGCUGGACUCAUUCUACUCUAAAAUGAAGCCAGGGGAGUAUAGGGAGGAGAGAGACCUGUGAAGAGUUUUAUGAGAAAAUUUUGUGAUGUAGAGUCCCCUCUGCCCACCCACCCAAAUACUUCUUUCUUUCUCCUCAAGCAUAAAAUGAACUUCCUUGGCACUGGCGAGCUAAAAAACUGUUCCCUGUUGUUAGAAAGUCAAGAACUACAUCACCAUUUUUGCCUGUAAGUGAAAGAAGGCUGCGCCUGCAGAGAAUGGGUUUAUCAAUAUGUCUUUGCACCAAAUGUGGGCCACAUAGAAGACAGACAACACAGAGUUGCCUGCCGAGUAAAGGGUGGUCUAGAAGCAUGGAGGAACCAGAUGGCCUAAAGUCAGAGACAGACCAAAGGAAUCCUAAAAUUUGUUGUAGGUCACCACUUCCAUGUCUCUCUAGACCAAAUGUAUUUACUUAAGAGGCCUGUAAUGAUGGGAAUCUCCAAAGGUUUAAAGGUUUCCUUUAGGGGAAAAAAAUCAGCUUCUACCGUCUGUUAGAUAUAGUGCUGACCUUCCAAAGACCAGUCCUAGACUCAGGACACAAGCAGAUAGAAUAGCAGCAGGCUAAUGGGGAUGGGAGCUUUGGUGGUGUGUGAGAAGGCUGAAGGCUAGCAGCAACCAACCAUGGACCCUACCUGGGGGGAAAGAGAGAACAGUCUUGGACUGACAAUACCUUAGGAUGAAGAUCUGAGAAUCUGACUACCAUUUUGGACUGGAAACAUUUUAAUUACUAAGUAAACUCAUCUAGACCAUCUUUUUUUCAUUUCAAGGGACUGUUCUGUAAAACACUAUCAAUUAACAAAAAAUGAACCAAAAAAUAAAAUUUCCAUUCAGGAACCAAGGAAGAUAAUAGCAUAACCCUAGGUAAAACAUUUGAAAAGAUGAUAUGAGCUUAAAGUAUAAAGUUGUGAUUUGAUCAUAUCACAUGACUUGUGCAUUCUACAUCUGAACUUCAUCCUAGGUACUUACUGUAUGUAGUUAUUUCUGUCCUUUGUAGCUUGAAUAGAAGUGAUUCAUGAAUUUUUGAUUUGGGCUUGUGUGUGUGUGUGCUGUGUUUUCCUAAGACCAUGGGGCAUUUUCCCCUCUUGCUCCUUCCAAUUCUGCCCUCAAGAAGGUCCCAGUUGGUGGUGUUAAUUGGCAGACAGUCUAACUAGUGUUUCUAUUUUCAGAGCUGCAAGUAAACUUGAACUGGAAACUUGAUAAGGCUGUUAUGGUUGUACCCACUGCAGCUAGCAGUGAUCAACAUGGAUUAGCAUCCAGACCAAGUAGAGGACAUGGGGGUGAAACAGGUUACAGAUCUGAUGUCCUGCCUUUUAAGCCAUGUGCGUAAUUACUUUUAGGAGUGAAACUAUCUUUCUUCUCUUAUUGGCUCCAAAUAUUUUCCUGGUUUUAAGCAUAUCCUUUGGAGUGACAGGAAGCUGCAGUGAAGGAAUUCUGCCUUGCUAGCGCUUAAGUAGUAACAGAAAGCCGUUCAUGACAGCUUUCUGGGCUCUGGCCAAACUCAUUAAAUAUGUUCCCUGCCUCAGACCUCCUUCUUCAGGGUCACAUGUCUAAUGUUGAUGACAUGUCCUUCCUAGAGAAAGUUGUUUUAAACAUACUGGACUCUCCCCCAUACUCUUUUUUGUUUUGUUGUUUUUUUUAUUUUAAUUAGAAAGAAAAUUACAUGUCAAUCCCAUGUCUCUUUCCCUCCCCUCCCCCCCUGUCUUCCCCCAA